CUCGCCUACAUGAAGCUGGAAUUGCUAGUAAUCACAGGUCAGCAUACUGUGGUGAAUACGUUCCCGGGCCUUGUACACACCGCCCGUCACACCAUGAGAGUUGAGAAUACCCGAAGCCCAUGUCAAAGUGGUCGAAGGUAGGCUUGAUGAUUGGGGUGAAGUCGUAACAAGGUAUC
rnacentral:rRNA from 1 species